AAGUCGUAACAAGGUUUCCGUAGGUGAACCUGCGGAAGGAUCAUUAAUGAAUUUAAACGCAAGGUUGUCGCUGGCCUAUUUGGCAUGUGCACACCUUGUUAAUUCAUCCACAUACCUCCUGUGCACUUUUCAUAGAUUGACAUUACGGUGGGUUGCCUAUGGCGAUUCUGCUAGUCUCUCUGUGUAUUUUUUAUAAACUUCAGUAUAUGAAUGUAUACCUGUGAUAAAACGCAUUUAAAUACAACUUUCAGCAACGGAUCUCUUGGCUCUC
rnacentral:misc_RNA from 1 species